AACGAACGCUGGCGGCAUGCCUAACACAUGCAAGUCGAACGAGGCCUUCGGGUCUAGUGGCGCCCGGGUGCGUAACGCGUGGGAACCUGCCCUUAGGUUCGGCAUAACUCCCCGAAAGGGGUGCUAAUACCGGAUCAUGUCUUCGGCCCAAAGAUUUAUCGACUUUGGAUGGGCCCGCGUUGGAUUAGCUAGUUGGUAUGGUAAAAGCCUAACAAGGCGACGAUCCAUAACUUGUCUGAGAGGCUGAUCAGCCACACUGGGACUGAGACACGGCCCAGACUCCUACGGGAGGCAGCAGUGGGUAAUAUUGGACCAUGGGCGAAAGCCUGAUCCAGCAAUGCCGCGUGAGUGAUGAAGGCCUUAGGGUUGUAAAGCUCUUUUACCCGGGAUGAUAAUGACAGUACCGGGAGAAUAAGCUCCGGCUAACUCCGUG
rnacentral:rRNA from 1 species